rnacentral:rRNA from 1 species
AACGAACGCUGGCGGCAGGCUUAACACAUGCAAGUCGAACGCCCCGCAAGGGGAGUGGCAGACGGGUGAGUAACACGUGGGAACAUGCCCAAAGGUACGGAAUAUUCUCGGGAAACUGGGAGCAAUACCGGAUGUGCCCGCAAGGGGAAAGAUUUAUCGCCUUUGGAUUGGCCCGCGUUGGAUUAGCUAGUUGGUGGGGUAAAAGCCUACCAAGGCGACGAUCCAUAGCUGGUCUGAGAGGACGACCAGCCACACUGGGACUGAGACACGGCCCAGACUCCUACGGGAGGCAGCAGUGGGGAAUCUUGGACAAUGGGCGCAAGCCUGAUCCAGCCAUGCCGCGUGAGUGAUGAAGGCCCUAGGGUUGUAAAACUCUUUCGUGGGGGACGAUAAUGACGGUACCCCAAGAAGAAGCCCCGGCUAACUUCGUGCCAGCCGCCGCGGUAACAC